AUCUCUGUUGAUCCUGAUAUCAUUGAAUUUUAUUUUAGAAAUGAAUCAGGUUGAGCUAACAUUGUACAAAAAGGAAAAAUAUAAAAAACUUUGUGAAUGGGUGUAUUGAUGGAAACAAUAUUAUGGCCUAUUAUGGCUUCAUAAAUUGGGUCUUCUACAUUAUUGGAGGAUAUUUACUUGUUCAGGAGACUUACCAAGUUAAAUGGUGAUUGACUUUCAAA
rnacentral:lncRNA from 1 species